UUUGCCACUGUCACGUUGAUACUGGGAGGGUCUAUUUUCUUCUAUUUGGAGGCCAGAGUAUAGCGAGAGAUAGAGUUAAGAUUAAAGAUCAGGUUUAGAAUUAGAGGAGGAGAAAUUGAGUUCGCAUAGGGUUUAGGAUUUUUACCGUUAAGGGUUAUGGUAAAUAAUGGUGGUAAGGCUUGCGGUUGGGCACUAGGGUUAGGGGUUAAAGUUUUAGAUUUACAUUUAGAUUUUGCAUUAGGGAUUAAUGGUGUAUGGCUAAGAGAUAAUGAUAAGUGUGGUCGAAUAUGAGCUGCUGUGUUGUGUAUCAUUGGUUUGGGUUGGGAUCAGAGGGGAUUGGUUGAGUUUGGAGUAGUGAUAGUAUUAGCUGUGGUUACAGUAGGAUUAGGGGUAGAAUUAAUUCAGUGAGUCAGGUUAGGACUAGUGUUAGCAUUUGGGAUGUUAGGUGUGUUUAGUAUUGGAGUAAGAGAUUGAAAUUAGGUUUAGGAUAAGAUUAAAGGUUACUGUGGAGCAGCAGCAUAUUCUGUCUUCCAAACAAGCCUUCUGAGAGAGCAGUAGAAACUGUGAGAAGUGAUGCUCUGUGUACAUGGAGCUUGCAGGAUUGGAAGGGGUCAAAAUGGAUUCUGGGGGAUAUACUAGGAAAGAAUUUACAAGUGUUCCCCCACAUGACAGAGACACCCGGAACACAGACUACUGUACCAUGUACAACUUGCUAGGAAAAAAAAAAUAUCUGAGAAGCACCUUUCAACUCAGUGCAGCUGUGUCACCAGUCUCAUUCUGUGAAUAUUUAAGUUCUUCUUAUGCAACCUCUAAUGCAUAUCCCUCAUAGCAGUGCUUGCUUACACUUUGUGUUGUGUUGUUAGGUUCUAGGAUUAUUCUGUAUAUUUUUUCACCCAAGGGCUCUCUUCACCUACAUUCCAUCCCCUUUUAUUUAUGUAUUUUUUAAAAAAAAAAUACAGAAUGCUUCAUGAAUUCGCAUGUCAUCCUUGCACAGGGGCCAGGCUAAUCUUCUCUGUAUUGUUCCAAUUUUAGUAUACGUGUUGCUGAAGCGAGCACAUUGUAUGUCUUGUCUUAUCUCAUACUUACAUCCCUUCUUUUGUGCAAAAACCCUAUGUCUGUGUUUUUCCUGAUAUCACAUCUACAGAGGUCAGAAGAGGGCAUCCUGUUCUCUAGAACAGGAGUUAGAGAUGGUGAUUAGUGGUUAACCAAUCCAGGUCUUGUAAAGACACCUCUACUGCCACCUUUGUACUUUGUUUAUAACUUUCCAGGGCUGUACUUAUGUGGACUUCAUGGACACCUGUCCUUGUGGUGCACAUGAACUCACACAGGCAAACACACAUAACAAUCUGUAUAACUUUCCAUAGUUAACUUACAUACUUGGUUAACUUAUAUUUAACUAACUUAUAGUAAGUAUAUACUUAUUCUUCAUUAACUGUAUCUGUCAGCCUGUAGCACCCCAAGGUUUCUUUCCCUGCCACUUUUCACAUCUCACCAAUCCUGCUUCCCUCCCAUACCUGAUCUUAGUUACCAAAAUGUAAUGUGGGGUAACCCAGCCCACUGCAUCCUUAGGCCGGUGAGCCUGGGCUAUCUCAGAAGAAGCUAGCUGAACAUGACCAAAAGAGCAAGCCAGAGAACAGACGAGCCAUCAGGACUCCUCCGAGCCGUCAGGACUCCUCCGUGGUUUCUGCUUGAGUUCCUAUCCUGACUGUCCAAAGUGAUGGAUUGUGAUCUAGAAGUGCAAGAUGAAAUAAAUCCUUUUCUUCUCAAGUUGCUUUUGGACAGUAUUUUAUUACAAGAGAAUGAAAUUAGUAUAAGUUUUUCAUAAAGUUAAACAAUGUUGUC
rnacentral:lncRNA from 1 species